rnacentral:rRNA from 1 species
GACGAACGCUGGCGGCGUGCCUAAUACAUGCAAGUAGAACGCUGAAGCGAGGAGCUUACUCUUCUUGGAUGAGUUGCGAACGGGUGAGUAACGCGUAGGUAACCUGCCUUGUAGCGGGGGAUAACUAUUGGAGACGAUAGCUAAUACCGCAUAACAAUGGAUGACACAUGUCAUUUAUUUGAAAGGGGCAAUUGCUCCACUACAAGAUGGACCUGCGUUGUAUUAGCUAGUAGGUGAGGUAAUGGCUCACCUAGGCGACGAUACAUAGCCGACCUGAGAGGGUGAUCGGCCACACUGGGACUGAGACACGGCCCAGACUCCUACGGGAGGCAGCAGUAGGGAAUCUUCGGCAAUGGGGGCAACCCUGACCGAGCAACGCCGCGUGAGUGAAGAAGGUUUUCGGAUCGUAAAGCUCUGUUGUAAGUCAAGAACGGGUGUGAGAGUGGAAAGUUCACACUGUGACGGUAGCUUACCAGAAAGGGACGGCUAACUACGUG